rnacentral:rRNA from 1 species
CUUUCCUACGGGGGGCAGCAGUGAGGAAUAUUGGUCAAUGGGCUUACGCCUGAACCAGCCAAGUCGCGUGAGGGAAGACUGCCCUAUGGGUUGUAAACCUCUUUUGUCAGGGAGCAAUUGGCGCUACGUGUAGCGUUAUCGAGAGUACCUGAAGAAAAAGCAUCGGCUAACUCCGUGCCAGCAGCCGCGGUAAUACGGAGGAUGCGAGCGUUAUCCGGAUUUAUUGGGUUUAAAGGGUGCGUAGGCGGAAUGCCAAGUCUGAAGUGAAAAUCCAGCGCUUAACGUUGGAAGUGCUUUGGAAACUG